UCGAUUUUAAAUCCAAUCGAUCCUACGCAACGUUAGAAUUAAUUGACAAUACGUUCCCGUCGCAAUCAACAAGAUGAUCGAUUUACAGACAUGAAUUUGACGCAACAGGAAAAUCAAUGUGAUACAUGCUUUUAUAUUAGCAUGGUCGUCGGUUUCGUACGUGUGCGUUAAAUAUGUAUGUCGUGAAACGUGACACGCGUAGCGCACGCGUACGGAGGACCAACCAACCUUGCUCUUAGACGUUUGCGAGCAAUAAACAUGAGUUAUCGCGAGUAUCGUCGCGGAGAAGACGACACUAUUACUGUUAAAGAUGAACGAAGACGAAGAAGACGAAGAAGAAAAGAGAAGAGAAAAGAAAAGAAGCUUACCUUCUGGUCUCAGCCUGUCUGCGAUAAGGCAAUACGGGGGUGGCGGCGACUCUGGAACAAAAUACAAAUAAAAGUAUGCAAUUAA